AUUGAACGCUGGCGGUAGGCCUAACACAUGCAAGUCGAACGCGAAAGUCCUUCGGGAUGAGUAGAGUGGCGGACGGGUGAGUAACGCGUAGGAAUCUAUCCUGUAGUGGGGGAUAACGUUUCGAAAGGAACGCUAAUCCCGCAUACGCCCCCAGGGGGAAAGCGGGGGAUCUUCGGACCUCGUGCUAUAGCACGAGCCUGCGUCGGAUUAGCUAGUUGGUGAGGUAAAGGCCUACCAAGGCGACGAUCAGUAGCUGGUCUGAGAGGACGAUCAGGCACACUGGGACUGAGACACGGCCCAGACUCCUACGGGAGGCAGCAGUGGGGAAUUUUGGACAAUGGGCGAAAGCCUGAUCCAGCAAUGCCGCGUGUGUGAAGAAGGCCUUCGGGUUGUAAAGCACUUUUGUCCGGAAAGAAAUGGCUCUGGUUAAUACCUGGGGUCGAUGACGGUACCGGAAGAAUAAGGACCGGCUAACUACGUGCCAGCCGCCGCAGUAACAC
rnacentral:rRNA from 1 species